AGCUGCUUGUGUGACACGCAUUGAUCUUGCAUUCAUUGAAACACUUAGUUUUGAGUGUUUUGACUCAGUUUUGUUGUAACGUUACCUUUGUUUACGUUUUCAAUAACUUGUUUUGGGCUUCUCAUAUUAAUCAUUUUUUUCUUGACGUAGCAGGUUUAGUGUAAAACAAGUUUAAGCUGAAAUAUUUACAUGUUCAGAUUACAUGAAUGCAUACAUUUUAUAAAAGCUAUUUCAAAGUACUGUAGCCAUGUGUAACAUGCAUAUGUCUUAGUCAAUGACUACUCAGCAUGCUGUUUGGUGUUCAAUGGUAACAGUUUGAUUUGUUUUUGACAUCAAAUAAGAUUUGAUUUGUGUUUCUGAGAUUCCUAUGUUAUUUGUGGCAAAUAUUUUCCAAAAAUCCUCCAUCUAAAUCUUCAACUGAAUUCUAAAAUGCCUGCAUUUUCUACCAGAAACAUUAUCAUUGAUACCUCCUACAAUAUUUCAUUUUGUCACUAGGUACCUGGACUGGUGAAAAGUGAAAACUGAAAUUCAUUCAUGUCACCAUUAUCCCAAGACCUCCCCCUAAAUGGAAUUGAUCUUGUUUCACAAAUGAGUUGUACAAUGUCUAUCAGCUGAUGUCUGUUGUCUAUCUCUUUUUCAGCACAGAAGAUCCUCAGUUAUAGUUAACAAAAUGGAAAAAAUUAGCUGUGUUUUUAAUAUUCCAGUCGUGGCCAUCAAUUGCUCAGGAAAGCAGCCCAGAAUCACUUCACAACAGGUUUCCAAAGGAUCAUCAUUCAUCAGCACAGAAGGGGGGAAAGAGAAGGCUGUUCAAAUUCUGAAAAGCCAGAGCUGCAAAGGAGGUCAAAGAUGCAGUGUAGUUGGCCCACUCAGUAGAGUUUCACUAGUGGUUCUGAUGUGGACUGGGGAUUACACGCUAGAUUGAAGUGGCCGGUCUGGAGCAGCUGUAAUUCAUCAUUCGUGCUGACUGCGGACGAGUAAGAGCCCGCGUUGGCCCCGAUCGGCGAUCGCUGGCCAAAGCCCACCACCAGGUUGGUGAUAGGCGUUGGUUGUGAUAUGUAGUGUCGCCUAUGUGUGAAAAGGACAAGUUGAUAACAAAACCUGUUGCGCCAUGUUAUUAACCCGCGCCCGGGUGGCCCUCAGCCAACUUGGUGGUGGUGGUGGGGGGGGGGGGGGGGGGGGAAGGAGGGGAGGCGUAUUGGGCCACACCAGGUUAUCUUGGAAUGUAACAAAGCUGGAAAGACGCAGUAAAAUCAAUAUAUAGCUCGCUAUUUUUCUUCAGAAUCAUACAGGUCAUUUUCGAUCAGGUCAUUGCUAAGGUCACUGGAGGUCACCAAAAGUAAAAUGAUGACGAAUUUUGGCUCCCGAUUUUGACAACUUCAGAAAUUGGUUCAUAACUCGGGAACCAAAGAAGCUACAGCGCCGCGGAAAAGCGAAUUCGAUAGCUCUUUCGAAAAUCUUUCAGAUUCUCAGAUUUUAGCUAAGGUCAACUAGUUUGAGCCUCCAAAGGGCAAAAACUGAACAUUCGGCGUGCUUCGGAAAUCGUCUUUUCUUUUACAACUUUUGAUACUAACCUUUUAUUACGUUGAUUUUACCGGCACUGCGUUUCUCUCGUCUUGUUGACCUAACAAGGUCAACUUAAUAAAUUUGACCUCAGGUCAAAGUUGCAGAAAAUGCCAUAUUGCAUGUCAGUCGAUUCCUUACAUUGAGAUUGAGAUUAACAUCAGUAGCGGCGGAACACCUUCAAUUGAGGGGGCAUUGCCGAGUUUUGGUCCCAUUCUUUCCAUGCAACGCCCAUAGGGCUAAUGUUAAAAUGCCAGAAUCAAAGGGGGCACUGUGCCCCGGUGCCCUCCCCGUUCCGCCGCCUAUGAUUAUGAUGUUUUUAGCGCUCUGGCCACGUUCCAUCUAAAAUCAAUGUACAAAAAUAAACUGUUGGAGACGUUACAUGACCUGAGAUGACCUCAGGAGCAUACGAUAUAUCCCGAUGUUUGAGUGUUUUUGUUUCAAAAGCAGAGCAUUUCGAGUUCCUCAUACUGACUGAAACUGGAGACGUCGCAAAGUUGACCUGACCCUAGGUCACCGAUAUCAAAAUUAAAGAUAUGUAUUCUGGAUGUUGGUACUGAUUCUCUCAUGCAAUAGCUCGAGUUUCAAACUUCUACGUCAUGGUGACCUGACCUGACCUUAGGUGACAUGGGGUUUGUUACAUUUUUUUCACAAAUGAUGCGAAUCGAUGCAUUAUACAUAAGCUAUACUAAGUUUCGUGUCGUUUUAUUUAUGCAAGCACUAAAUUGUCAGGUGCGGCCAAAAACGCCCCCACCCACCCCACCUGGGGGAACGUUAAAGCAGUGAUAUAUUAUUCGGUGUAUUCCACGAUGCAUCGAUCGGUGUACUUGAUAAUGCAUUAUUUAUUGCUGCGUGUCUACGCUUUUGCUCUGUUCAGUGUGAUCUGUGAUAGGAAAACUACCGAUAUAUCUCCACGCGCAUGACUGAAAGAGAUCUACAUGAUGAUCUACAAUAUUGCGUGUCUGUUUUUGUUUGGCAUUUUAUAAAUACUGAGUCAGC
rnacentral:lncRNA from 1 species